rnacentral:tRNA from 1 species
GUCGAUAGGGCUGCAAUGGCAGGGUACUUUGAUAUAGUGCUAUUUAAAGAAAUUUCUUUCAUCGAUA